rnacentral:rRNA from 1 species
CCUACGGGAGUCAGCAGUGAGGAAUAUUGGUCAAUGGCCGAGAGGCUGAACCAGCCAAGUAGCGUGAGGGAAGACGGCCCUACGGGUUGUAAACCUCUUUUGUCGGGGAGCAAAGCGAACCACGUGUGGUUCAUUGAGAGUACCCGAAGAAAAAGCAUCGGCUAACUCCGUGCCAGCAGCCGCGGUAAUACGGAGGAUGCGAGCGUUAUCCGGAUUUAUUGGGUUUAAAGGGUGCGCAGGCGGAGGGUCAAGUCAGCGGUAAACUUGAGGGGCUCAACCCCGUACUGCCGUUGAAACUGGAUGCCUUGAGUGCGCGAGAAGUAUGCGGAAUGCGUGGUGUAGCGGUGAAAUGCAUAGAUAUCACGAAGAACUCCGAUUGCGAAGGCAGCAUACCGGCGCGCAACUGACGCUCAUGCACGAAAGCGUGGGUAUCGAACAGGAUUAGAUACCCUGGUAGUC